GUAGUAGUAAACAUUUGUCUGAUUUGUGUCUCAUAACUUUUGUACUGUAGAACACAAACUCAGUUUUCUUUCCAGGGAAGCAAGUCCAUUCAUACUUUUACAAGCUCGUACUAAAGUCAACUUGAACUACUAACAGUCAACUAAUACCAACGUUAACUAUCAACUAGAAGAACUGCAAUCAUUGCAAAUUUGUACCACUGCAGACUCAUGACCAUGAAAAAAAAUAUACUUGAUAUAUGCGUUGCUUUUAAAAACCUUGAUAAAAUAUGAAUUAUUUGCCUUAAUGAUUAAUUCAUUAAAUG
rnacentral:lncRNA from 1 species